rnacentral:rRNA from 1 species
GACGAACGCUGGCGGCGUGCUUAACACAUGCAAGUCGAACGGGCCUUGUCCCCUUUUUUUUUGGGGGUGGGGUUAGUGGCGAACGGGUGAGUAACACGUGAGUAACCUGCCCCUCACUUCUGGAUAACCGCUUGAAAGGGUGGCUAAUACGGGGUGUUCUGGCCUGCUCGCAUGGGUGGGUUUGGAAAGAUUCGACCGGUUUUGGUUGUUUUGGUGGGGGAUGGGCUCGCAGCCUAUCAGCUUGUUGGUGGGGUGAUGGCCUGCCAAGGCUUUGACGGGUAGCCGGCCUGAGAGGGUGGGCGGUCACACUGGGACUGAGACACGGCCCAGACUCCUACGGGAGGCAGCAGUGGGGAAUAUUGCACAAUGGGCGCAAGCCUGAUGCAGCGACGCCGCGUGAGGGAUGGAGGCCUUCGGGUUGUGAACCUCUUUCGCCAGUGAAGAAGGUCCUGCUCUUUGUGGUGGGGUUGACGGUAGCUGGGUUAAUGAAGCGCCGGCUAACUACGUG